rnacentral:rRNA from 1 species
CAAUAGCGUAUAUUAAAGUUGUUGCGGUAAAAAAGCUCGUAGUUGGAUUUCUACCGAAGAUAGCCGGUCGGGUCUUCGACCUUGUAUCUGGUUUUGUCUUUGGUAUCCUCAUAGGGAACGUUUCUGCGCUUUAUUGCGUGGUGCGGUAUUUAUGACUUUUACUUUGAGGAAAUUAGAGUGUUCACGGCAGGCAAACGCCUUGAAUAUAUUAGCAUGGAAUAAUAACAUAGGAUCUUCGUCCUAUUUUGUUGGUUUCUAGGGCUAAGAUAAUGAUUAAUAGGGAUAAUUGGGGGCAUCUGUAUCAACGCGUCAGAGGUGGAAUUCUUGGAUUGCGUUGCGACAAACUACUGCGAAAGCAUUUGCCAAGGAUGUUUUCAUUGA